UACGUAGGGGGCAAGCGUUGUCCGGAAUCAUUGGGCGUAAAGAGCGUGUAGGCGGCCCGGUAAGUCCGCUGUGAAAGUCCAGGGCUCAACCCUGGGAUGCCGGUGGAUACUGUCGGGCUCGAGUCCGGAAGAGGAGUGUGGAAUUCCUGGUGUAGCGGUGAAAUGCGCAGAUAUCAGGAGGAACACCAAUGGCGAAGGCGGCUCUCUGGGACGGUACUGACGCUGAGACGCGAAAGCGUGGGGAGCGAACAGG
rnacentral:rRNA from 1 species